CCUCACCGCAGUCUUACUCUCGACCUCCGAAUUUUGCCAGUCCGCUCCACGCUGCACGAUCCUAGCCCAGGUCAGGACAAAUGCAGUCUGCAGUCAGAGCCUGGCCCGGGCACAGCCCCAUUUGAGGAUGGCAGAGAAUGCAGGCUGCAGGGCCCUCCUCCUAACUGCAGGAACAAGGUCUAAAGACACACAGGGUGGCCUCUUCUUCCUUGACAGUAACUACAGGGUACUGAAGACUCCCUGCUGUGCUUUAGACCUCAACCAUCCCCCAAGUCUCAUGGGUAUGGAAAGUGAUUGGAUCAUGGGUGCGUGCCCAGCAGCAGAUCCACUCGUGGGCCACCACUUUGUCCUCCACCACGACCUCUGUCUUCCCCUCCCUUCCUGGGAGCCAGCUGACUGUGGACUGAAGCCCAGGGAUAGCAAGGCCAUCCCAUGAUCCAUCAAUGUGUGGGAUGCUGGCUCCCUCUUUUUGACAGAACAAAGUAUUUCCAAGGACUCUUCUCAGGAGAAAUGUACAGUCUCAGGCAAGACACAGAAAAAAACAGACACCUGUGCAUUACUUUUGUGGCAAAGCACACUUUUGAUUUCUCUUUGUACCUUUUCAAAAGAGAGGUUUCUAACACUUCUUCUGUAAAACUCACUCUCCUCCAUCCUCUUGAUGCACAAAGAAACUGCCACUAAACACAAGACAGAAUUCCAGUGGGAGCCUCAUAGUCUUGGCUCACUGCAAGAAGAGUGAGUCACUUAGCACAAUCUCAAGAAGAGGAGAUAUAUGGCGGUGUGGUGGCCUCUUGUUCUUGGAGAUUGUCCACAUGGUUAAUGUUUCUGAGCUGAUGUUCCCGGUAAAUUUGAUUUAGUGACUUUAUGUAUGCUUCUCCACUAAAGUAUUACAUAUUUUAAAUCAACUGUCAGUAACCUUCACAGAGGGAAGUGCAUAAAUGGAAAAGAUUCAAUGAAAUGCUACAAUAUGUACAUCACUGCCCCAAAACAACUCCGUUUCACAAGGUGUUGGCUUUGUUUUGAAUGCAGAAAAAGAAAUUACCCUCAAUAAUCAUUUUAUGCAUUUGCCCCUUAAGUGCUUCUGACCAUGGAGAUAUAAAACAAGACUUGGCAAGCGGAAGAGAGCCUUCUCUGUUGACCUUUAAGUAAACAUUUCAUGUAUUAGAAGGCCAAGAUUGAAAUGUGCCCACCAGUUGCAACUGUACUCACUCUGAUUAAUGCAGAGACAGCUUCCUGAAUCUGUGAUGGUGUCAACGGGGAUGUGUCACUGGCCCACCUGCCACAUCUUCUCAGAGUGAUUUCUGGUAGCAGAGGCAUUCAGGGACCUUGCUCAGAGACUGCCGACCCCUCCAGGCCACUUUGUGUCUCAGGAAGUAUCCUUGGCACUGAAGCAGGAUGCAGGGCACCCUGCGUACCAGGCUUCCCACACGCCUGCCCCAGCACCUGUACCCUCCCUCCAGGUCAUAACAAUGACUCGCUGCUUGUUUAUGUAUCUGGAGAUUUUCUUAUUUUUGGUCCUAAACACAAAAUCUUAAAACUACUUCAGUUUGGCUGCAGAACUGCUCAUUUACUUAUUCAAUAAAUAUGUGUUAAACA